rnacentral:rRNA from 1 species
AGUGAUCGCUGGCGGUAGGCCUAACACAUGCAAGUCGAACGGCAGCACAGUAAGAGCUUGCUCUUACGGGUGGCGAGUGGCGGACGGGUGAGGAAUACAUCGGAAUCUACUUUUUCGUGGGGGAUAACGUAGGGAAACUUACGCUAAUACCGCAUACGACCUACGGGUGAAAGCAGGGGAUCUUCGGACCUUGCGCGAUUGAAUGAGCCGAUGUCGGAUUAGCUAGUUGGCGGGGUAAAGGCCCACCAAGGCGACGAUCCGUAGCUGGUCUGAGAGGAUGAUCAGCCACACUGGAACUGAGACACGGUCCAGACUCCUACGGGAGGCAGCAGUGGGGAAUAUUGGACAAUGGGCGCAAGCCUGAUCCAGCCAUACCGCGUGGGUGAAGAAGGCCUUCGGGUUGUAAAGCCCUUUUGUUGGGAAAGAAAAGCAGCAGGUUAAUACCCCGCUGUUCUGACGGUACCCAAAGAAUAAGCACCGGCUAACUUCGG